rnacentral:rRNA from 1 species
GAUGAACGCUGGUGGCGUGCCUAAUACAUGCAAGUCGAGCGAACAGACGAGGAGCUUGCUCCUCUGACGUUAGCGGCGGACGGGUGAGUAACACGUGGAUAACCUACCUAUAAGACUGGGAUAACUUCGGGAAACCGGAGCUAAUACCGGAUAAUAUAUUGAACCGCAUGGUUCAAUAGUGAAAGACGGUUUUGCUGUCACUUAUAGAUGGAUCCGCGCCGCAUUAGCUAGUUGGUAAGGUAACGGCUUACCAAGGCAACGAUGCGUAGCCGACCUGAGAGGGGGAUCGGCCACACUGGAACUGGGACACGGUCCAGCCUCCUACGGGGGGCAGCAGUAGGGAAUCUUCCGCAAUGGGCGAAAGCCUGACGGAGCAACGCCGCGUGAGUGAUGAAGGUCUUCGGUUCGUAAAACUCUGUUAUUAGGGAAGAACAAAUGUGUAAGUAACUAUGCACGUCUUGACGGUACCUAAGCAGAAAGCCACGGCUAACUACGU